rnacentral:rRNA from 1 species
AUUGAACGCUGGCGGCAGGCCUAACACAUGCAAGUCGAACGAGUGGCGGACGGGUGAGUAAUGUCUGGGAAACUGCCUGAUGGAGGGGGAUAACUACUGGAAACGGUAGCUAAUACCGCAUACCAUGAGAUGUGCCCAGAUGGGUUUAGCUUGUUGGGGGGGUACCUGCUCAACAAGGCUACGAUCCCUAGCUGGUCUGAGAGGAUGACCAGCCACACUGGAACUGAGACACGGUCCAGACUCCUACGGGAGGCAGCAGUGGGGAAUAUUGCACAAUGGUCGCAAGCCUGAUGCAGCCAUGCCGCGUGUAUGAAGAAUGCCUUAGGGUUGUAAAGUACUUUCAGCGGGGAGGCGUUACCCGCAGAAGCAGCACCGGCUAACUCCGUGCCAGCCGCCGCGGUAAUAC